rnacentral:lncRNA from 1 species
GGUGACGCGGGCGAAGGGGCGACUGGCCAAUUGGGACAUUUCCCGCUGGUGACGUCGCCGCUCCCUCCCCCGGUCCCAGCCCUGCUUGAGGCGCCAGAGGAGGACGCAGAGAGCGAGGAAGAGGAAGAAGCAGGAGAAGAAGACGGAGAAGAAGACGAAGAGGUCGAUGUGGGCCUGGUCCUGGCGGAAGAAGAGCAGCCCCUGCGACGCCCCGUGGUGCCCCUCCUCCUCCUCAUCCUCAUCAUCCUCAUCCUCAUCGUCCCCCACCCCCAGGAGGAGGAGGUAGAAGCGGGUGGAUUUGAGGGGGUGCAGGGUGUGGGGGAAGGUCAACACCACCCGGUCCCGCACCCCCCGCACCACCAGGGCCCCACCCCCACCCAACGGGGGGGAGCCCACCGUCACGUAGGUCACCAGCCCCACGGCGCGCUCUUCGCGCAGCCCGGGGAUCCCCGCGGUCGCCCCGUUGGCUCCGUUGACCCCGUUGGUGGCUCCGUUGACCCCGUUGACUCCAUUGACCCCAUUGACCCCAUUGGUGGCCCCAUUGGCCCCAUUGACUCCACUGGUGGCCCCAUUGGCUCCAUCGAUGGCCCCGUUGACCCCAUUGACUCCAUUGGCCCCGUUGAUGGCUCCAUUGGCCCCAUUGAUGGCUCCGUUGACCCCACUGAUGGCCCCGUUGACUCCAUUGGUGGCUCCGUUGACCCCAUUGGCUCCGUUGACAACUCCGUUGACCCCGUUGACGGCCCCGUUGACCCCGUUGACCCCCCCGUUGACCCCGUUGGCCCCGUUGAUGGCCCUGUUGGCCCCGUUGUUGGCGGCCUCGUUGGCGGCCCUGUUGGCAGCCCCAUUGCCGGCCCCGCCGUGGGUCUGGAGCCUCACGAGGUGGCGGCCGGUGGCCGGGUCGACGUCGACGGCGAAGGUGUCGUAGGA